UGGGGAAUUUUGCACAAUGGGGGAAACCCUGAUGCAGCGACGCCGCGUGAUUUAGAAGGCCUUCGGGUUGUAAAAAUCUUUUCUAUGGGAAGAAAAUGACAGUACCAUAGGAAUAAGGACCGGCUAAUUACGUGCCAGCAGCCGCGGUAAUACGUAAGGUCCGAGCGUUGUCCGGAAUCAUUGGGCGUGAAGGGUACGUAGGCGGGUAAGCAAGUUAGAAGUGAAAUCCUGUAGCUCAACUACAGUAAGCUUUUAAAACUGCUCAUCUUGAGAUAUGGAAGGGAAAGUGGAAUUCCUAGUGUAGCGGUGAAAUGCGCAGAUAUUAGGAGGACUACCGGUGGCGAAGGCGACUUUCUGGCCAUAAUCUGACGCUGAGGUACGAAAGCGUGGGUAGCAAACAGG
rnacentral:rRNA from 1 species